CCUACGGGAGGCAGCAGUGAGGGAUAUUGGUCAAUGGGGGAAACCCUGAACCAGCAACGCCGCGUGAGGGAAGACGGUUUUCGGAUUGUAAACUCCUGUCCUCUGUGAAGAUAAUGACGGUAGCAGACGAGUAAGCUCCGGCUAACUACGUGCCAGCAGCCGCGGUAAUACGUAGGGAGCAAGCGUUGUCCGGAUUUACUGGGUGUAAAGGGUGCGUAGGCGGGCUUGCAAGUCAGAAGUGAAAUCCAUUGGCUUAACCCGUGAACUGCAUUUGAAACUGUAGGGCUUGAGUGAGGUAGAGGCAGGUGGAAUUCCCGGUGUAGCGGUGAAAUGCGUAGAGAUCGAGAGGAACACCAGUGGCGAAGGCGGCCUGCUGGACUUUAACUGACGCUGAAGCACGAAAGCGUGGGUAGCAAACAGGAUUAGAUACCCUAGUAGUC
rnacentral:rRNA from 1 species